GUCCUUCCCAAAGGGCAUUCCUGGGGCUAGCCUAUGCUUCACAUUACCGUCUUGCUUACUGAGAGCCCUUUAUUCAAGCCACUGCUCAGCAAAUGUCACCAUUGUGAGUUUGCCUGCAGCCCUUAGGUUGAGAAAAGCGAUUUCCCUAUGGGGAAAGGGAGGGUGGACCUUCCUCCUGCAUGAAAUGUUGAUCCCAGAGCAAUACAGUGGCACUGUCAGGGGACACUUGUUGACUGACUCUCUAUGGAAAAUGAGGGCAAGGGCAAAGAUUCUGGUGUGGCAUGGCAGUGUGCCCUGUCAGCACCCACACAAAAUUCCUCAGAAAAUUACUUCUCCCAGGAUGGGUUCUGGCCCUUCUCAUCAUCUGAGGGGCAUCUCUUCUUUCUAACGUGUGGCCAUGCUGUAAUCUUAGGGGUGUGGGAUCUGCUUGAUGCCUAUAAAACAUACAAAAGUGUGUGUGUGUGUGUGUGUGUGUGUGUACAUUUACACAUGUGUAGUAUCCAUUAUGUGCUUCCUGUUGGAAAUUGCUGUAGUUUGGGGAAGACUGUAUAGAUAAAUGAAAGCUACAAAAGCACUUCCUCAUGCAUGAAAAAUACAUAAAACUUUGAAAAUAAUUUAGCUCAUUCUGAGAAAUAACAUACAAUGUGAGCCCAGUGCUUCACCCAAUGGAUAACAGUGAUG
rnacentral:lncRNA from 1 species